rnacentral:lncRNA from 1 species
UUUUAAAUGUAUGAGAUCAAAUUAAAAUUUAAAGUAAAUAUAAGAGACCAAAUAUGUAAUUAAGUAAUAUUAAUAAUAACGGCAAAUUACAUUCACCUCCCUUGAGGUUUUUCUAAAUAACACUAACACCCCUCUAGUUUCAAACUAAACACUAACAUCCCUUAAUAUUUAGUUAAAUAGACAAACACCACCCCUCCCUUUUAACACCGUCAGUUCCCUUCCUUGAGUUCCUUCACUUUCUUUCCGUGCUUUUGUAUGUUCUUGUUGGUUUCUCUCUCUGGUCUCAAAUCAGUUACCAAAAUGUUCGAAAUUGGCUUCACCUUUGACUAGUGUUUGUAUUCUGGUGGGAUCACAUAAAGUGCUAGUUAAAUUCAAAGCAGCCCAAUUUAAAGCACAAGGAUACAUGGGAAGCUCUCAAGAUGUAGUUACCAUUUGGAACGAAAUAUACAGUAUAGUGAAAUUGAAAUCACAAUGAAUCAAUGAUUGUGAUAUUAUUCUCUAUACCACACAUCUCAGUCCUAUUGUUGAGUUUCUUCCUUCUUCAUAAUCGGUUUAUUUUUAUAGCCAAAACCGAAAGAAACAAAACAUUCAGCUAGUUGUACGGCAGCCCCGUUUUAUUGUAUUCAAGAAAGAAAAAAAAAAGCAAACUAACAGAUAACUAACAAUGUUAAAACGAGGGGAGGUUAGUGUUUAGUUGAAAACUAGAGUGGUG